UACGAGAGGUGCGAGCGUUAUUCGGAAUAAUUGGGCGUACAGGGUGUGUAGGUGGCAUGUUAAGUCAACUGUUAAAUCUUCCGGCCUAACCGGAAAUAUGCGGUAGAUACUGAUGUGCUUGAGGAUGGAAGAGAGAAGUGGAAUUCUCGGAGUAGCGGUAAAAUGCGUAGAUCUCGAGAGGAACACCAAUGGCGAAGGCAGCUUCUUGGUCCACUCCUGACACUGAGACACGAAAGCGUGGGGAGCAAACAGG
rnacentral:rRNA from 1 species